GAAUAUGCAUUCAGUAGCGUCAAGCCAUCAACAUAACUAUGAACACGAACUGAACUGGAGUAAUGUUCGGAUAUUCGACUCAGAGUCUAAGUCUGAAUCUGGGUCUGAAUCUAAUAUUCAAAUGUUACUCCAGUUCAAUUCGUGUUCAUAGUUAUAUUGAUGGCUUGAUACUACUGAAUGUAUAUUC
rnacentral:pre_miRNA from 1 species